rnacentral:rRNA from 1 species
UACAGAGGGUGCAAGCGUUAAUCGGAAUUACUGGGCGUAAAGCGCGCGUAGGUGGUUCGUUAAGUUGGAUGUGAAAUCCCCGGGCUCAACCUGGGAAUGGCCGUUGAAACUGGCGAACUGGAGUGUGGCAGAGGGGGGGUGGAAUUCCGCGUGUAGCAGUGAAAUGCGUAGAGAUGCGGAGGAACACCGAUGGCGAAGGCAGCCCCCCUGGGCUGACACUGACGCUCAUGCACGAAAGCGUAGGGGAGCAAACAGG